rnacentral:rRNA from 1 species
AUUGAACGCUGGCGGAAUGCUUUACACAUGCAAGUCGAACGGCAGCACGGACUUCGGUCUGGUGGCGAGUGGCGAACGGGUGAGUAAUGUAUCGGAACGUGCCCAGUCGUGGGGGAUAACGUAGUGAAAAUUACGCUAAUACCGCAUACGAUCUAUGGAUGAAAGCGGGGGAUCGCAAGACCUCGCGCGAUUGGAGCGGCCGAUAUCAGAUUAGGUAGUUGGUGGGGUAAAGGCCCACCAAGCCAACGAUCUGUAGCUGGUCUGAGAGGACGACGAGCCAAGUUGGAACGGAGACACGGUCCAGACUCCGACGGGAGGCAGCAGUGGGGAAUUUUGGACAAUGGGCGAAAGCCUGAUCCAGCCAUGCCGCGUGCAGGAUGAAGGCCCUCGGGUUGUAAACUGCUUUUGUACAGAACGAAAAGGUUUCUACUAAUACCAGGAGCUCAUGACGGUACUGUAAGAAUAAGCACCGGCUAACUACGUGCCAGCCGCCGCCGUAA